CCGGCCUGCAGCCCUGCCGCGCGCUCAUUCGCCAAGAAAGCGAUGCCAGUCGGCCAAUGAAAGAGCGUCUCUUUGAAGACGAACAGCUGAUGUCAUGUAGUUCCAAUUUGGGAGCGCUGAUUGUGAGGAUGCUGGAGAACUCUCGCCUAAUCCGCUCUCCGGGCUUAAAAUGGGGGAGAGCGGGGAAACCACCCCUCGCAGGCGCUUUCUACCCAUCUCUUCGGGCUCCAGAGCCAGACAAUAUGGAAUCUUUUCGGUUUGCACUCUGAAAAAAGAGAGAGUAACUUGGGGUGUUCCGAAAGAAGCUUCUCCUUCCCACGAACUAGCAGCUUGCAGCGGUAUCAAUUCUCUGCGACAUCCUCACUCAGUCUCUCCACCUCUGCUUCCUGUUGCAGUCCUGACAGAAAAUAUCUUGCAUCUGCAUUUUACCGAGAAGUUUAAACCUCUGAAAUCAGAAAUGGGGAACUCCAAAUGUUAUUGGAUUCUGUUUUCACUUCGGUCUGAUUGCCCAGUGAUUAGAAGAUGUGGAUCACACCUUCAAAAAUCAAACUGCACAUUAUUCAAAGCGGCAGGAAGCUACAGUGAAAGGAGACUUGAGUUAACAUGUGUCUCUACAGUACAUGAUUCUUACAGGAAAUUCCCCAUUUGUCCUGCUGAUUAUUUCCUAUUUUACAUGUGAAUGGAAAUCACAAAAGAAUCAGCUAACAUUGACUUGAUACUAACCAAUAUGACAAUAGAAAAGUGUUGCAUAAUGCUGGAGUUUUUGAUUUUAAAAUAAAAGUGAGUAUAUUCAAAUAUGUAUGUUGAGUUUUAAAAAAUAAGGUUAAUACGUUCGGUCAAUGGGAGCCUGGAACAGGAGAGGCUAAUAGGAAGAGAGGCUAAAAAUGGUUUGGACUUCUUAAGAAGAGAUAUUAAAAGCACAAAUGCAAACAAUGCCUGCGGGGAAGAACAAGGUCAGCAGAAGACUCAACUGAAAAAACAAAACAAAGGAUACAUGCAAUAAAUGGAAAAAGGCCAGGAUCAGAUACAAAAAAGUACAGGCAACUACCUCAGAACUGUAAAGCUGGUGUUAGUAAUCCCAAAGGUGCUUUUCCAACAGGCAACUGGACUUUGUUUUUUUUCCUUGAAAACAUUUUGCUUUCUCAUCCAAGAAGCUUCUUCUGUUCAUCUGAAGAACUGGUGAGAAGCGAAACAUUUUCAAGCAAAAAAAUCAAGAGAAAGCACUUUGGGACAACCAUGACUUGGAUGACUGAGAAUCUCCAAAGACACCUGGUGUUAAAGCAGAAGUUCAGAAUGAAUCAAGUUUAAGGGCAGAUGUUUAAAGUAAUUUUAAAAAAUGGCUUCUGUAUAAAAGUUUAAAAUAAAAGGCUUAGUAUUAGGGUUAAGCCUAACCAACACACACAAGAAUCGGUACACCAUAUCUUUAUCUCUGUUUUCAAUACAUGAGAAACAGAAAAUCAGCAAGUUACAGGCCAGUCAAAUCUAAUACUUAAAAGAAUUCCAUAGAAGGCAAUAAAAAGAUCAGCCUGUAAGCAAAUUAAAAAUGAUGAGAUGUAUUAGAAAUGUAUGUGGAUUUAUUGUGAACAAAUCUUGCCUUAUCAUGCUUAAUACAUAGUACAUCUUGACGUCAAAAUCUGACUAAAUACUACAUAGUUAAGUGUGGGCUGGAUUGCAAGAUAAUUAAAUCAAAAUCAUAUAUUCAAUGUAUUCAGAAAUUGGGAAUACGUACUAAGUGCCCAAGGAUCAGUCCUAGGUUGCUCUUAAUAUUAUUAUUAAUGAUUUUGAUGAAGAACUGGAAGGAAUAAUUAUAUUUGCGGGUGAUACAAAAUGAAUCGCUACUACCUUAACCAAAAGAAAUAAAAUUAGAAAUGAUCCUGAUAAAAUAGAGAAAUGUGACGAAAGUAAUGGAUUACAUUUUAUAACUCUAAAUACAAAGUGCUUCACUAGCAAUAUAAUGCGGUUGCUAAAAAAGAUAAAUGCUAUUUAGGCUGUAUCAAGAAGUAUAGCAUCCGUUCACUGGAAGUAAUAGUUCUAUAUUAUUCUGCUUCCGUAAAUCACCAUCUUAUGUACUAUUUCGGAUGCACAACUUUAGGAAGAAUUCAGAGAAACUGGAGCAGAUUCAGAGAAAGGCAAGAAUGAUCCUGGAAACUAAAAAUUAAGUUAUGUGAAGAGAAAUUGGGUAUAUUUUGCCUUAAGAAUAGUUGAAUGAAAGGGAGAUGGCAGCAUUCUUCAAAUGAUUGAAAGGAUUUAACAAAGAAGCCCACCUGUGGGGAUAGAGAGUAAUGGAUUUAGGUUACGGGAAAGCAGAUCCCAAUUAAGUAUUAGAAAAAAAUGUCCUGGAUGUUGUUUAACAGUAAAACCUAUUAUGAAGACAGGUGGUAGCUUUCCCUCUACUGUACAUAUUCAAGUAACAACUUAAACAGCCAGAGCUCACUGAAGCUUUAAUUCUUUCAGAGCUGGGGGUUGGCAUCAUAAGGUAGACUAGAUCAGGAAAUUAAUUCCAUAGAAAGACUAGACUUACAUUUUAUUGAAUUAGGCCAGUAACAGAAUCUUGCAAGUCUGCCUGUUAUUGUCUUAAUGGCUUCUGGAUGGUUACUGCAAGAUCAUCGCCAUCAUAGCUCCCUAUAGUUGGACUCAACAACUGAAAUGGCUCUUUUCAAUUUUUGUAACGCUACAAUGAUUUUAUUCAUUUAUCAGAUUUAGAUGGUCACCUAACUCAAACAAUUGAGAUGCUUGGCAGCAUAUACUGUACUUUCCGGCGUAUAAGAUGACUUCCGCAAGCGUUAAAAUCAGCGCCGAAGUCGGGGGUCGUCUUAUAUGGCGAGUCGUCUUAUACACCAGAAAUAACGGUAAUUUCCGGUGUAUAAGAUGACUUUCUAGCCAUGCAACUCGGCGCUGAAAAUGGGGGUCGUCUUAUACGCCGGAAUAUACUGUAAUCCACAACAAGCAAACAAUAAUGAAUCAAUAUAGUUAAAAGCAGCAGUAAAAAUCAAUAGGCACUUGGGAAACCCAGUUGACUUUAUAGCCUUCCAAAAAUUUGACCCCAAGGGAAGGAUGUUAUAAAAACCUUUCAGAAGAGUUGGAGCCAACUAUAUAUUUUAUUUAUUAAAUUUAGAAACUGCCCAUUUCCCUAACAGAGUCUAUGGCAUAUGCAUAUAUGUGUUUCAUUUCAGAGGCAGAUAUUACAGUGAAAAUGGCAGGCCUCUUAGGUCCUGCCGGAAGACAUUACUUCAAGGAAGGGACCCAAACUAUGCCCAUCCUAAUAGAGAUGUGGGAAAACCAGAGAUCAUGGGGAUUGAUUUUAUGAAAAGUAAAUAAAAUUGGCUGGAAUGAAUUCCAAAGAUAUAAUUAGGUCUUUAGUGUGAUGCUUAGUUUGCUUAUAUCACAUUAUCCUCCCAUUUGGGGGGCAUUUUUAUCUACAUUUAACUAUGUAUGUAUCAUCCUAUAGUUUUUUUUUAAGAGUAUACUGGUAAUCUUUCAGUUAUGACUCUAAUGGACCCCACCCAACACAGCUGUCAUUUAUGAUGGUCAAAAAGCAGGUCACCCACAUGACUGACCUGAUUUAAUAGCCUUUUUGGUGGUCAUUAAGCAAAUGCUAUAGUCAUUAAGUGAAUCAAUGCUUCAUUAUGGGUCAGUUUUGCUGAAAACUGGAAAUAAAUAUCCAUUUUUUUGCAAAACCGUGUAAAAUAUAGUUGUGCGACUGUGGGACACCAAAAGACACCAUAAAUGUGACCAAAUUGUUUAGCGUCCCAAGUGCAGUCACAUGAUUAAGAAGGGGUAAGGCCACCAUCAGAAUGUCAAAUUUGGGUCAUAAGUACCUUUGGGAGGAUCUGUCAUAACUUCAAAUUGUUCCUAAGUGACCAGUUGUAAGUUAAGGACUACCUCUACUGGAAUAUUUUGGAAAUGUUCAACUUAAAGUCACUCCUUCUAAGAGCUACAGAACAAUAAAUAUGACUACAAAUGGACCUGAAGACAUGUAA